GCUGCCUGGGGCCUGGGGAGGGGGUGAGCGGAGCCGCGGCCGAGGCGCUGCGAGGUUUGCAGGACCCGAGCAUCUCCCCUCGCCCCCGCGCAUUUCCCCGCGGGGAAACUGAGGCCCGGAAAAAAGGGCCAGGCCCGGUUCAAGGUCACUGGACGCGGCCGUGGUGGAGACGCGACCUCCCCGAGCCCAGAGGCCCGAGGCGAGGCCGGGUGGGCGCAGGACUUCCCAGGUCCUGCAGUUUGGGCGAAUCACGGAACCCAUCAGCCCCUGGGCUCAGGAGCCACCAUUCCCCCGCCUCUGGAGACAGAAGCAUCGGGUCACUGAGCGCUGUGGUUCUGCUUAACCCCUGCGUCCCAUCAUCGGCAACCCACACACCCGAGAUAAUCUGGAGGGAGCCGCCAGCCCUUAGGUCCUGAGACGACUCAGACUGCCGGCGAGUGGGAAGCAGUGGCGCUCUCCCCACGAGGCCGCCUCGCGUGCACAUGGGGACCCCACCCGCCACUGGGGUCCACACGCUUCCUUGCCCCCAAGUGAGCCCCGAAUGGCCACGCACCCCAGGGGAUCCGGGUCAGGGCCCUCUUCUGCGCAAUGCAGCAGGAGAGCCUCACGACUGCUUUGUGGGUGGUGGGGUUGCACACAGCCCCCCUGCCUCUUGCCCCCUUGGGGCGCGUCUGCCAGGCAUCAGGGAGCCCCCUGCUCCUCACUGAGCAGGAGGUAGGGGAGCUGCUGGGAGCCUGAGGACCCCCAAGUGUGCAAGUGUGUUUUUUCAGGCCUUUGCCCUUCCUCUUCCCCAGAGAAGCUCUGUUUGCAGCUAAGAACUCUCCAGCAUCUGACUUUCCUCCACCCCAAACCCAAUGCGGGCCAGCUCGACCUUCAUGCAUCAUGACCCCACGACCCCAGAGCCCCCCCCCCCAGAGCUGACAGCAGUGGGAGCCUUUUUCAAACUUAACACUUUUAAGAAUUUUAAGAUGCACGGGGAUUUGUGCCACGUACUGUUUCUGUUUGCCAGGUGUGUGAUGAGCGCAGACCGGGAAGGGAGCUGGGGUCUGUCCUGGCUCAGGGGCCCUGCAGUCUGCGCCCGGGCCUCAGUUCAACCGGUGGGAUAAUAAUCGCAUUUGCCGCAGGGUUGAGACUGAAGGAAUUAAUACCCGGAACUUGCUUAAACCUUCCCCUGCAGGCACGGCAACCCCCGCAGAGGAUUAUCUGCUGCUGUUAUUGCUACAAAUUGACAGAGUGUUUUAUUCUCUCUCCUGCACAUCCACCAAAUUUUACAGACCGGGCAAGUUACACUCAGGGAGCUCUCCUGCAUACUUCUUCCCCUCCUCCCAACUUUCCUCUGCUUGCUUUCUGGACACCUUCCUGCUUAUCCACUCCCCGGGUGGCUCCCCCCUCUGUGUCUGCUGUGGGUUGAAUGGUGACCCCCCAAAACACACGAUGAAAUCCUAACCCCCAGAAGCUGCGAUUGUGACCCGAGCUGGGGGCCUUUCCAGAUGUCAUCUGGUGAGGAGGAGGUGGUGCUGCGUUAGGUGCCCCUUAAGUUCCAAGAUGGUGCCUGGGAAGGCGUUCUGGGGAUACAGAGGAGCCCUGUAGGGCGAGAGGAUGCUGGACACCUGCGAACUGGGAGGGGUGGGAAGGCAUCCUCCAGUGAGCACGGCCCCCCAUGCUUUGGUUUUUAACUUCGUGCCUCUACAAGGUGCGCGAAUAAAUGUCUAAAGCUGC